GACAGUUUCGCGCAUAGUAUCCAAAGACCUUUCAGACUCUGUAAAUGUGGCCUCUCGGUCACUUCCCUGAUAUGUCUCCUUCGUGUCCCGUUGCCCAAUUUCCAGGGGAUUUUAAGAUCAUAAGAUUGUCAGACUCCAGGAUGCUGCAGUGUCCUCUGGAGUAAUUUGGAAGGUGAAGGCAGAAAUUUCAAGUAAAGUGAGGACACGAAAAUACAGGGAAAGACUCAAUGCUGACUAUGCAAGGAGAGAGGAGGUCCUAAAGGAAAGGAGGAAAAAGUAAGGAGAUCAUGUUCACACAGGACAGACAUCUUCUAUAGGGAAGGAUGGCAAGUCUAGGCAACAGCCUGCAUAGUGUAACUUCAACACAAUACAAAAGAAACAGAGAAAAAGAAAAUAAGAAGUGAAUGCCAUUAUGAACCUGACCCCUCCAUCUAUUGAAGCAUCACUGAAUGCACAGCACACCAGAGCCUUCUGUCAAGUCUACCCAUUCUUCUCCUGAAUGCCCCACUUAGAAUCUACAGGUGUCUGAAGAAUCCAUACCAAGCAAAUUGAUAGUUCAAAAUGAUAGUCUGAGGAAACAACUUAAAGUUAAAAGGCUAAAUCAGGCACAAAGAAGUACACCCCAAAGCAGAAAGAUGCAGGACCGGCACUAAUAGUUGAAUAGUGAGAAGUUCCACUUCCGAGCAGCUAAAAAAAUGUCCCAUGAGAGAAAAAAAGAGGGUUACGGCUUUUUUGAAAUUGGAUGAGAACAGCAUUGUGCUUCCUGGAAAAAGGAUACAAUUGAAGAAACAUAAGAAACAAAGAAGGAUCCUUACAAGCACACUUCACAAAGUCUUCAGUGGUAAGAGUGAUACAUUGCACAGAAUGUCUUACAUGCAGUUCACCAGAAACAAACCAUUCUACAUCCCCUAAACCAAAAUCAUGUGAUUGUAACAACUGGGCAUGCCAUCAACAUGAAAACAUGAGACUUCUGAAUGCAACUCUUUCAAAAAGAUGAGGCUUCAGUGCACAGAAUACUGUUUUGAGGAGGUUAAGUUCAGAGGGCAUAAUCCUGCCGAGAGGCAGGGGUGUAAAUUUCAUCUAACGGGGAGGAUAAACAACAUUUCUCAAGAGCAAUUUUGGAAGGGGACACAAAUAAUCCAGCAAAAAUUGUACUUGUAAGGAUAUGUAUACACAGAGGAUAGCCGUACUACUAUUAGUGCAGCAGUUGGCGGCUGUCUUGACCGCAGUGCCACACUGGACAACUUCAAGCUGUUGUGGUCACAUGGAGACAGCGCUCUGUGUCUUUUAGACAUUACUAUCCAUCACAGUGUUGCACACUUCAUCACUGUUGCCGCAUGAUGUUUUUCAUGUCAUUUUCAUUACAUUUUCAAUGUUAUUUUAGCACCUGGAACGCAGUUUUUACCCGGGGCCCCCUCGAAACGCGGUUAGUUUGGGCUAGUUUUGUUAUGAACACCUGAUGCAAGGCAACCCUUUCCAUCAAGCGAGUAACGUUAUUAUUACUAACAUAGCGCACUCAUCAAAAAAUCAAUGGCAUCAUGUAUUAAAGAGAAAAUAAUUACUUCCAUUCCAAUUUUUAAGUGAAUAAAACAGCUAUUGACAGCCUUUCUUACUGGAGUUCCUCAACUAUUGACAUCUCUGAAUCACACUCUCUGAGACAUGAUGACUGAUAAAUGUGUUGAAGAAGAUGAAAUCUCUACCAUGGAUAGCUUGCUUCUUUCAACAGUAUGCCCAGUGGUUGGAAUAAAGUAACAUCCUUUUCACCUGGGGAAAUACAUACCGAUUCCAAAAAAGUUGUACAAAAUUAUACAAUGUACAAAUUGUGAAUAAAAAAAAAAUGCAAUGAUGUGGAAGUUUCAAAUUUCAAUAUGUUAUUCAGAAUACGACAUUGUUGACAUAUCAGAUGUUUAAACUGAGAAAAUGUAUAAUUUAAAGGAAAAAAUAAGUUGAUUUUAAAUUUCAUGGCAUCAACACUUCUCAAAAAAGUUUUUACCACUGUGUGGCA